rnacentral:piRNA from 1 species
AUAUUCUUAUAUGGCCAUACUUG